rnacentral:lncRNA from 1 species
AAAAAUCCUAAAAAAAGUGAAUAAACACAUAAGCACACAAGCAAAUAAACACACAUAAGGACUUAACUAUUACGUUUGGGGUUCUAACUACAAUCUAAAAGAGGGAAUUAAAAAUAAUAAUCUAACUAUUACAUUUAUCUAACUAAUUACAUUUAUGGCAAAAUUAAAAUCUAUCUAUUACAUUGUUUAGCUAAAUACAUGUCUUGAACAUCUAUCUAUUACAAUUUGACAUUUAAAUGCCUCUCAAAUAAUCACCAAAAUUAAAUAUAUAAAACUUGAAAUAAAUAAAACGAGUAAUUAAAUAAAUAAAUAAAACACUCAAGACAUGCAAUUACACAUAAAAUACAUAGGAGCACAUAAAAGAUUUUUUAAAAUAGUAAAAGAAAAUACCUCCCUUGAAGUAGUAGCUAAUUGGAGUUUGAUUUAGCUUAUUUAUACUUCAAAAUCAAUGAAAAUGUUAAGGCACCAAUUUAAUUAACAAAUAAAAAGAAUAACAUGUAAAGAAAUGAAAAAUAAUCAUGAAAUCUAUCAAUUAAAACAUUUAAAUGAAGUAUCAUUAACAAUUGAAAAAGAUAAUCAGCCUAUACUUAAGAAAUUAAAGUUAUUAGGGAUCUAAUUAUGAAAAUUAUAAAAGCUUUUGAGGUCAAAAUAUAAUUAUUAAAAAAUUUAGGGUCAAAAUUGAAAGAAAAAUUAAGUUUAGGGACCAAUUGCAAUUUAUAUAGGGACCUAAUUGAAAGAAAUUUAAAUUUUCUAGGCCGUAGUAAAAUUACUCAAAAGUAUAGGAACUGAUCUACAAUUCCAUCAUCAGAUCUGAAGGGAAACAGGACAUUGUGCUAUCUUUAAGAUUGCGUUGGGCUUAGGGCAUCUUGACCCAAGGAAAAGCCUCAAGAACAAGAGACGGGCUAACCCAUCACUUUGACCAAAUCAACCCAACCAAAAGGGGUGGGUUUCAACCUCUCAAAACCCAUACGAAACCCAAUAAAAUAAACAUAAGCCCAUUCCUAACGCCCAAAUAAAAUAGACCAGAUUUUAUACCAAAACCCAACUAAACAAACCUCAACCCAAACCUUCAACUAUUUUACAAAACCCAAUAAAAUAAUAAAUCUAUCAAAACUAUUAAACCCUAAAUUUCAUCCUAAAAUUCAUAAAUAAUCUGUUCAAAAAUCAUAUUAAAACAUGCUAAAGAAAAUUAAAAUUUAACGAGGCAAAAUUGACCGAUUGUUUUCGAUUUUCAUGCCACAGUAGGAUUAUUUAAAAAAUAGGGGCUAAAAUGCAAAUGUUUCAGAUUUGUUCAUGCAAGUUUGGGGCCAUGUAAGUUUUGAAAAUUUUAAUUUAUAGUAUGUAAAUAUCUAUAUAAAACAAAGUUGGUCUCCCCUAAUUUUUUACAAUUUUAUAUAUAUUUAUAAUUAAAGUUAAUAUUUGAUUUUUUUAGAUGUCAUAUAUUUAAAUGGAUGGAAAUUAUUUUAAACAUAGCAUAUUAAGAAAAUUUUGACCCCCUAGAAAAAAAUCCUGGUUCCGUCACUGUUCUUCUGCAACUUCCUGGGUUUCCAUCCAAGCGGUUAUUGUACCAUGAAAAGGGAAGAAAUCACAACAUGAUUUUAAGUGAACAGCCCAAAGUCAAAAUCUUUCUCAACUCCCUAGCAAAAAACAUCAAACGUCACUUGGCUCCUCAACCUUUGUCGGAGGAAACAAAUUCUGUGACCAAAGAAGAAUCGAAAGGGAAGGAACGAAGAGUAGCAAAUAUACGCAGCUAGAAAAAAUCUAAUCAAACCAUUCUCAUGCAUUGUUCUCCUCCUUUUUACAACGAAAGCAAAUAAUACAAGAAAAACACAAGUUUCAAUGGCUCAAAGCUACCCCACUCCAGAUUCAUGCAUAAAGGGAAGCAGACAACUCUCAUUCAUGGACUCCAGAUAAAACCCCGAAACAUAACUUUGCUUAUGAACUGCACGGCUUGCAAAGAUAAUCAAGGACAAGUAUUUACAUUAACUUCCAAAUCUUAUCCUUUUUUAGUCACACAAGAUACAUCAGACCCAGCAAAACCAUAUAACCCACACCAUAAGCUCAUGAAAGCAUAAUCUGAAAAGGGUUCUCUUUUGAUAAGUUAAAGAUUUUUCCUUUGUGGAUUGCAGCAAGCAAAGGAUAGAUUAAGAGUUACCUUCGAUGUUUACACACACAGAAAUUGAGAAAAGUGGGAUUCAAAGCUCAAAUCUGGAAGCCAGGAACUUUGCUGCAGAAACUUUAAGAAUGAUGAAGGUAGCAGGUUCAAGCCCGGAUUGGGAGAUGUUGCAGAGGUUUUUUCUAAGAAAUUCCAACACAAAAUCUUCUCCUUGAUCAACUUAGAUUUCUCAGAAAAAAAAAAUCUUCCCACGACAAGCUGUAGGGAGAUCGGAAUCAGGUGGGGAAUGAUGAAGGUAGCAGGUUCAAGCCCGGAUUGGGAGAUGUUGCAGAGGUUUUUUCUAAAAAAUUCCAACACAAAAUCUUCUCCUUGAUCAACUUAGAUUUCUCAGAAAAAAAAAAAUCUUCCCACGACAAGCUGUAGGGAGAUCGGAAUCAGGUGGGGAAUGUGACUAAAUCACCAACCCUGGCUCACAUUUUUUGCAAAGAAAAUUCUGCACUUUUUUCUUCCUUUUUUCUCUUGUUUUCUCUCUUUCUUUGCUUCCCUUUCUCCCUCUCUUUUCCUCUCCGCCGCCCCUAUCUACUCU